AGAUAACGACUACAAAUCUACCUCAAUCUGUGUUCUCAAAGGACUGAUAGCAGGCACCUGGUACAACAGCUGCAGUUCAAUUGAGCAUGGGCCAAAACUCUGAGUCAGCCAUCUUACCCCAUAAAUAGUGAUCAGCCCAAGAAUGAUAGCUCUUUCUUCUUGAGAAGGGAUGUGUUUUGAGGUUAUACCUGCUGCAGAGGUCCCUUAUUCCUUGGCAUCAAUAUACCUUGCUGAUAUAGCUCCUUGAAAUCCAGAUGGAAUAUGACCAUGAGAUUGUUUGCCAAGCAAGCCAAUAGUAUAUGGCAGUGCUGCAGUCCUAGCUGGGUUCUCAGGCAUGCUACUGUGGGAAAAGUGGCUUCAGAUGGAUGUGUGGGCUUUGGGUACUAUUGCACAGGGAUAGAGGAGAAGCUGCACAAGGACUGAGGUGCUUUUCAAAUAUUGCAAAGCUCUCAUAAUAUUAAGCCCUGUUCUCAAGACUGCCUGCCCAGAAGCCAUUCAAGACGUGGCUAAGAUAUUGCUGCAUGGUGAUGUAGUCUCAGCUGAAUCCUAAUCUGAAGUUUUGCUGAACAGCCUCCUGCAGCCUUCAAUUACCACUGCAGAACUUUAAAAUUGGAUUGGGGAUGGCUUUUCUGACAAGGCAAACAGGAUGUGAUUUUUAUUGUGAACUGCCAACUCUAGAGUUCCAGGUUACCCUGUAACCAGUUUUAAUACUUAUUUUUAAUCAUAACUUUGUAGUAAGGAGUACCUGUCAAUAAAGUCAUCUUUGUCUGAAAUCCUCA
rnacentral:lncRNA from 1 species